CUCUGGUAUUGAUUGGUGCUUGCAUCAUGAUUUACAUUUGAGUGAGUGGCGGACGGGUGAGUAACACGUGGGAAACCUGCCCAGAAGCGGGGGAUAACACCUGGAAACAGAUGCUAAUACCGCAUAACAACUUGGACCGCAUGGUCCGAGCUUGAAAGAUGGCUUCGGCUAUCACUUUUGGAUGGUCCCGCGGCGUAUUAGCUAGAUGGUGGGGUAACGGCUCACCAUGGCAAUGAUACGUAGCCGACCUGAGAGGGUAAUCGGCCACAUUGGGACUGAGACACGGCCCAAACUCCUACGGGAGGCAGCAGUAGGGAAUCUUCCACAAUGGACGAAAGUCUGAUGGAGCAACGCCGCGUGAGUGAAGAAGGGUUUCGGCUCGUAAAGACUACUGUUGUUAAAGAAGAACAUAUCUGAGAGUAACUGUUCAGGUAUUGACGGUAUUUAACCAGAAAGCCACGGCUAACUACGUGCCAGCAGCCGCGGUAAUACGUAGGUGGCAAGCGUUGUCCGGAUUUAUUGGGCGUAAAGCGAGCGCAGGCGGUUUUUUAAGUCUGAUGUGAAAGCCUUCGGCUCAACCGAAGAAGUGCAUCGGAAACUGGGAAACUUGAGUGCAGAAGAGGACAGUGGAACUCCAUGUGUAGCGGUGAAAUGCGUAGAUAUAUGGAAGAACACCAGUGGCGAAGGCGGCUGUCUGGUCUGUAACUGACGCUGAGGCUCGAAAGUAUGGGUAGCAAACAGGAUUAGAUACCCUGGUAGUCCAUACCGUAAACGAUGAAUGCUAAGUGUUGGAGGGUUUCCGCCCUUCAGUGCUGCAGCUAACGCAUUAAGCAUUCCGCCUGGGGAGUACGGCCGCAAGGCUGAAACUCAAAGGAAUUGACGGGGGCCCGCACAAGCGGUGGAGCAUGUGGUUUAAUUCGAAGCUACGCGAAGAACCUUACCAGGUCUUGACAUACUAUGCAAAUCUAAGAGAUUAGACGUUCCCUUCGGGGACAUGGAUACAGGUGGUGCAUGGUUGUCGUCAGCUCGUGUCGUGAGAUGUUGGGUUAAGUCCCGCAACGAGCGCAACCCUUAUUAUCAGUUGCCAGCAUUAAGUUGGGCACUCUGGUGAGACUGCCGGUGACAAACCGGAGGAAGGUGGGGAUGACGUCAAAUCAUCAUGCCCCUUAUGACCUGGGCUACACACGUGCUACAAUGGAUGGUACAACGAGUUGCGAACUCGCGAGAGUAAGCUAAUCUCU
rnacentral:rRNA from 1 species